UAGUGAAGUCGUAUACAGCUUCAUUGAAUCAUUGCGCUGUGAUUUGUAGUAGCAACUUUAAAUAAAAAUAUAGGAAAAAGGAUGGUUAUUCUUUGACAAAUCUAUUAGCAGUCAUCGUUACAUAAAACGCUUUAAAUAAAUAUUGAUGAAGACAACAUCAGGCAAAUAUAAUAAUUUGUCAUAGCAACAAUUUCUUGUAAUCAGCAACGGAC
rnacentral:lncRNA from 1 species